GGCGGCGUGCCUAACACAUGCAAGUCGAACGCGAAAGCCCCGCAAGGGGUGAGUAGAGUGGCAAACGGGUGAGUAACACGUGGGUGACCUGCCUCAGAGUGGGGGAUAACGACCCGAAAGGGUCGCUAAUACCGCAUAACAUCCUGCGUUUGGAGACGCGGAGAUCAAAGCCGGGGAUCGCAAGACCUGGCGCUCAGAGAGGGGCCCGCGGCCGAUUAGCUAGUUGGUGGGGUAACGGCUCACCAAGGCGACGAUCGGUAUCCGGCCUGAGAGGGCGGACGGACACACUGGGACUGAGACACGGCCCAGACUCCUACGGGAGGCAGCAGUGGGGAAUUGUUCGCAAUGGGCGCAAGCCUGACGACGCAACGCCGCGUGGAGGAUGAAGAUCUUCGGGUCGUAAACUCCUUUCGAUCGGGAAGAACGCCUUCGGUGUGAACAACACCGGGGGGUGACGGUACCGAGAGAAGAAGCCCCGGCUAACUCCGUGCCAGCAGCCGCGGUAAUACGGGGGGGGCAAGCGUUGUUCGGAAUUACUGGGCGUAAAGGGCUCGUAGGCGGCCAACUAAG
rnacentral:rRNA from 1 species